rnacentral:lncRNA from 1 species
GCCUAACACAGUGAUGCACUUGCGCAGAGCUCUUGCUCAUGCUUAGAUCCCUAUCUGCAGAUGCACAGAGGCAUUUUCCAGGAGAUACCGAGAGGACUUCGGAAUGUCUGCGGUUUCUGCACAGUUUGUACCUGGGAUAUUUAAAGCCAAGCUAAUGCACCCGGAAAAGCACCUCCUUCUUCACACAAGUUGUAACGAAGGGAGAGAAGUUUGCCCGGCCGGGAAGACUGUGCUUCUGCCCAGCCCCAGCCCAGCUUCACCCCGGGAAGUGAGCACAUAUGGGAUGGUGGAUAUGAGAUGGCGGACGAGAGGAAAGCCUGGGCUCAGCCCUCCCGCUCCCACAGAACUGCCUCUGCAGCUGAAACCAUCCUGAAUACACAGGCUAUGAGGCUUCAGACCCUUCAAAAGCACCAUAAAGCUUGUGAAAGUUGCCACCUAGAUUAUUAACAGCAGCACAUUUGAUGGUUUCCACUGCCCUACUUCAAACCACUUGGCUUUCACAUUGCUCCUUCUUCCCGAGAAAGGCUGCUGAGUUGACGUAUUAACUGAAAACUCCAUCUCACGCCUAGCCUGGAAGCUGAAGUUAUUUAUUGGACAUUUAGCUCAAGUAACUGAAUGCAAAAAGUGCUUUAUAGUACCUUAUUGCUACAUUUAAAAGAUAAUACUGGAAUUUCCAUUGCUUUCAAGUAGAA